GGGCAUGUGGUGUAAUGGUAGCAACCGGGGUCUCUCAUUACAUGGCAACCGGGACGUCGGUUCAAAUCCGGCCAUGUCCA
rnacentral:tRNA from 1 species